rnacentral:lncRNA from 1 species
CUUAUACACUCCCAGUUGUUGUCUCAGAGGAGGGAGGCCCAGUCUGGGUCCCGUUGGACCCAAAGGGGGUAGCAAGGAUGAUUGAGGCAGUAGAAAAGAAAGGGCUGAAAUCGCCAUUGACGAUGAAUGCCCUUGAGGCCCUCACAGCAUCGGGCCCAAUGCUGCCUUAUGAUAUUGAAAAUUUAAUGCGCAUGGUGUUGAAACCAGUGCAGUAUACGCUCUGGAGAGAGGAGUGGCAUACCAAAUUAAAACAAAUGCUGAUUACGGCGCAGGGUGAUCAAAGAAACCCCAUAUAUGGGUCCGAUAUACAGAGAUUAACGGGCAAUGCACCAGGUCUGCUGACCCCUCAAGCACAAGUUUGUCAACUUAGACCAGGAUAGUUGAUAGCGACUACGGACGCUGCAAUAGACGCGUUCCGAAAGCUUGCAAGGAGUGCUGAGCCCACUACUCCGUGGACAGAGAUCGCGCAAGGCCCCACAGAGCCGUUUCAGGAGUUUGCAGACAGACUAAUUAAGGCAGUGGAAGGCUCGGAUCUGCCCAGAGCAGUUCACGGUCCCGUCAUCCUGGAUUGCUUGUAUCAGAAGUCCAGUGAAGGGGUGCAGGGGAUUUUGCGAGUGGCGCCGGGGAGGCUCCAAACCCCUGGUGAGGCCAUCAAGUAGGUCCUAGAUAAGCAAAAGGCCUGUCCGUCUGUGGCAGGGGAGGUAGCUGCGGCGGUAGCAGGAGUGAUGAUGGCCUGUAGGGAGGCGGACCAUCAUAGUGCGGACCGACAGUUAGGACCUUGCUUUAAAUGUGGUCAGGCGGGCCACAUUAGGGCCCAGUGCAGAAUGGGUGCGGGUGGAAGCGUAACAUGUCAGCAGUGCGGGCGGAGGGGUCAUACAGCACCACAAUGCAGGGCCCGUAGGCCUCCACGCCAGGGAAAUAACAACGGGAGACAGUCCGAGCACGGUGACUUCAUUUUUCGACCUAUGCAGGCCCCUGACCUAAGUUUACCCAUGGCGGCGCUGUCUCUAAGUACCCAUGAGCGCCCUCUGGUGAAAGCCACUAUUUCUUGCACCAACCUCCCGCUGGAUUUUCAAGGCCCUCGAUCUAUCUUUGUCACUGCCCUCAUAGAUUCCGGCGCCGACGUUACUGUGGUCGCGGAAACAGAAUGGCCAUCCUCGUGGCCCGCGGAGGCCUCGCAGUCUAUUUUGGGGGUUGGAGGGGCGACCCCCUCACGCCGGUCUACCAAUGAGGUACAAGCGGUUGUGAUUAACAGGGAUGGCUCCUUAGAGAAACCGGCGUUGCUUACACCAUUGGUGGCGCGUGUCCCCGGAACUCUUCUGGGGCGGGAUUUCUUGCAACAGAUAGGCAUUCCACAGUAUCCUCUGAACACCUUCAAGGGAUACGUCACUAAUGUUACUGCUUGCGAUAACGACGCCGAUUUAGCCAGCCAAACAGCAUGCUUGAUACAGGCUCUAAAUACAACCCUCCCUUGGGACCCCCAAGAAUUGGAUAUUUUAGGGUCCCAGAUGAUCAAGAACGGAACAACACGUACGUGUGUUACCUUUGGUUCGGUGUGCUAUAAAGAGAACAAUCGCAGUAGAGUCUGUCACAAUUUUGAUGGGAAUUUUAAUGGGACUGGUGGGGCAGAAGCAGAAUUGCGUGACUUCAUAGCAAAAUGGAAAAGUGAUGACCUUCUUAUAAGACCCUAUGUCAACCAAUCAUGGACGAUGCCGCAGCACAGGCCUUAAAGGAGAUCGAACGAUUGGCAUGUUGGUCGGUUAAGCAAGCAAAUUUAACAUCAUUAAUAUUGAAUGCGAUGCUGGAGGAUACGAGCAGCAUCCGGCACGCAGUGUUGCAGAAUUGAGCAGCCAUCGAUUUCUUACUCCUGGCGCAGGGACACAGGUGUCAAGACGUGGAAGGGAUGUGUUGCUUCAAUCUCAGCGAUCACAGUGAGUCCAUUCACAAGGCGCUCCAAGCCAUGAAGGAACAUACAGAGAAGAUACGGGUGGAAGAUGAUCCCAUAAGGGACUGGUUUACGCGCACGUUUGGUGAUCUAGGAAGGUGGCUCGCGAAAGGUGUUAAGACGCUACUGUUUGCCUUGCUUGUCAUAGCCUGUCUAUUAGCUAUCAUUCCAUGUAUAAUCAAGUGCUUUCAGGAUUGUCUAUCGAGAACAAUGAAUCAGUUUAUGGAUGAACACAUAAAAUAUCAUAGAAUUAGGGAGCAGUUGUAGGUUCCGAACGCGAUGUGACGGGAGCUAUCGGCAUAGGGAGGGGGAGAUGUUGUAUGCGUAGCGAGGGAAACGAGGUGUGACGUGUGCAGGUUCCCUAUGCCACCUGUGUGUUAUGCC